rnacentral:rRNA from 1 species
CUCCCUAAUNAUUCANUGCGGNNGGACACUUCUAUACGUUAGUGAGGCUUUGUUUGCUAUCGCUCUCCCCGAUUGUUUGAUGUAAAUUUGUUUCCACGGCGGGUCCGCCCGCCGAAUACACCAAUUCAAACCCUUUGUGGUUGCAAUCACCGUCUGAAAAAACACAAUAACUUACAGCUUUCAACAACGGAUCGAUUGGUUCUGGCGGGUUGGAAGAACGCAUCGAAAUGCUAUAAGUAGUGUGAAUUGCAGAAUUCAUUGAAUCAUCGAAUCUUUGAACGCACAUUGCGCCCCUUGGUAUUCCAUGGGGCAUGCCUGUUCGAGCGUCAUUUGUACCUUCAAGCUCUGCUUGGUGUUGGGUGUUUGUCUCGCCUUUGCUUGUAGACUCGCCAUAAAACAAUUGGCAGCCGGCGUAUUGAUUUCGGAGCGCAGUACAUCUCGCGCUUUGCACUCAUAACGACGACUUCCAAAAGUACAUUUUUACACUCUUGACCUCGGAUCAGGUAGGGAUACCCGCUGAACUUAAGCAUAUCANUAAGCGGAGGAAAAAAAACCAACCGGUUAAUGAGGCGAACCGGGGGAACUGAAACUUCUAAUUGCCCCAAGGAAAAGAAACUCACCAUCUACUCACUAUCAUUAACUGAAUCCUUAGGUGAAUGAGGCGGAACCAGCGGGAACUUCUACAUCUCAGUACCCCAAAGAAAAAAACCAAAACCA